AGGGCAAGGGCAGGGAAUAUCAUCAGUACAAGAACUCUGGUUAUCCCUCAACAGGAAGAGGAUCAUCAUAAAGAGAACCUUAAAACUCAAGUUGCAGAAAAAGCAUCAUGGAACAUAAGAUCUCCUCUACUGAAUAUUUACUUGAUGCACCUGUGCGUUUUGAAAUGAUUGAACUUGUGUUUAUGUUGAGAUUUGAUGCAUGUACGAAAAUUCUAUGGAAUUGUAUGACAAUAGAUGUGAUUUCAUAACUCUACUUGUUCAUGUAAGCGGCUGGUUUUGAUGUGUAUCUUUUGUAUAUGCCAAGUACUGGCAUAGUUAUAUAGAAACAUGAUUCUGCUUUCC